CCUACGGGUGGCAGCAGUGGGGAAUAUUGGACAAUGGGCGAAAGCCUGAUCCAGCCAUGCCGCGUGUGUGAAGAAGGCCUUCGGGUUGUAAAGCACUUUCAGUGGGGAAGAAAGCCUUGGGGCUAAUACCCUCGAGGCAGUACAUCACCCACAGAAGGAGCACCGGCUAACUCCGUGCCAGCAGCCGCGGUAAUACGGAGGGUGCGAGCGUUAAUCGGAAUUACUGGGCGUAAAGCGCGCGUAGGCGGUCUGAUAAGCCGGUUGUGAAAGCCCCGGGCUCAACCUGGGAACGGCAUCCGGAACUGUCAGGCUAGAGUGCAGGAGAGGAAGGUAGAAUUCCCGGUGUAGCGGUGAAAUGCGUAGAGAUCGGGAGGAAUACCAGUGGCGAAGGCGGCCUUCUGGACUGACACUGACGCUGAGGUGCGAAAGCGUGGGUAGCAAACAGGAUUAGAUACCCGUGUAGUC
rnacentral:rRNA from 1 species